rnacentral:lncRNA from 1 species
GUCUGUUAUGCUUCUGUUAUUGGCAGGACAGCCAGAGGAGGCAGACAGGACCUUUGAUGCCUGGCAAGCUGUACCACUGGGAGUACCAUGAGGCUGCUAUUUGAAAAAUGCUGAUUAUUUAUAUUUUCUGUGAAGAAACGGGAGCAGGCUGUUCACUGAGAACUAGGAAACAGAUGUUGAUGCUGAAGGUACAGGAUAAGGGUGAGGCUUUUCUUCUUACCGACCAUGUUUUAAGUCAACUAGCCUUGGAGGCUGAGAUGUCUCCAACCUAUCUCUGCCUCAAGACUCAGGCAGCUGCUCUUUCUUUGGCCAGACCAGUUGACACUUCAACAGAUGCGUGCAUCUCAG